CAUGGAGGGUGAGAAUCCCGUCCGGUUGAUCAUUUGCGUUUUACGAUACGCUUUCUAAGAGUCAAGUUGUUUGGGAUUGCAGCUUAAAAUGGGAGGUAAAUUUCUCCUAAGGCUAAAUAACGGCGAGAGACCGAUAGCGAACAAGUACCGUGAGGGAAAGAUGAAAAGAACUUUGAAAAGAGAGUUAAACAGUACGUGAAAUUGUUGAAAGGGAAACGAUUGAAGCCAGUCGUACCUUCGGGUAAUCAGCCUUUCGGGUGCGAUUCUGUGGAGUGUGAGGAGCUUAACACCUUCAUGCUUUGCAUAUUCGUACUCUUGGGUGUACUUGCCCGUGUGGUUGGUUAACAUCAAUUUUGGUGGUCAUAAAAUGACUGGAGGAAUGUAGCUUCGAUCUCGUAUUGAAGUGUUAUAGCCUUCGGUAGAUGUGAUGAUCAAGAUUGAGGAUUGCAACGGAUACCCUUCGGGGCUACCUGUCUGGUCUCUGAUCGUUGCUCUGGUGCCGAAAGCUUGCUUACGGUUAUCAAAGUCGAUGGUCAAAAGGUUAGAAUGGGUUAAAUUCGUUAAGGAUGUUGACGUAAUGG
rnacentral:rRNA from 1 species